rnacentral:lncRNA from 1 species
GAAGUCCUCUCUGACCAGCACCACAGGCCAGGUUAGGGCUGGGCUCCUCCAGGCUGCCAUAGCACUGUAUGCUCACUGUGCCUCUGUGGACGUGCUCUCGGGGGAAGGGACCCCGUCUGAUUCCUCCCUGUGCCCCAGCACCUGAAUCAGCCUGGGAGGGCUGAUGAAAAGGGAAGAUCCUACCAAAUGCCCUAUGGUUGGUGACCAGGAGCUCUGCACAAGCAGCCUUACAGACUUCCCAGAAACAUCCCAAAAGGCCAGCUCUAGAAAGACCUGAGAAGUUAACCCGUUUUUCAGAGGGGAAACUGAUGCCCAGUUGGGGACAGGUGGCACUUAAGGACGCAUGACCUGUUAGUGGCAGAGCCAGGGACUCCACCAAACUCCCCCAGCCCUCUUCCCACGAUCAUGCUGCCUCUGAACCUUGGGAACAGGCUCUGGGGAGUUCAUUUCCUCAGAAAGAAAUCCACUACCCUCCAGGUCCUGGGCUCAGGCUGGGACACCAACAUCCCUAGGACACAGUCCUGUUGUUCAAGGAGCUGUGCUGACACGUAGCCCAAAAGCUAUAAAGCAGAGUGAAAAGGAAAGAACAGAAAUGAGUGCAGAAGUGGCACCCAGGGAGAUGGGAGAGGUCAGGCGAGACAUCUUGGAAGAAGUGACAUCUAGACUGAGUCUUGAAUGAGAGUUUACAAGGAGGACUAAGUUGGAUACAAGAGGGGAGAGGAGAGGAAGUGGUGGUCCAGUUAAAGAGAAACGUGCAAAGACACAGAAACAUGAAACGAUACAGCAGGAUGGGGAACUGCACCAGCCGUGGUGAGGCUGAACCCCAAGCACAGGAGGGAAUCUGCACUUCGAGGCUGGCACAGGGGGCCAGGCCACAUCAGGAGGGGCUUGGAAGCCGUGCUAAUCCAACUGGACUCCAGCUUGUUUCUUCCAGCUUUCUGAAUCUACCCACACCAGGAGGGCCUUCUCGCUUUUUGCCCAGCACAGGCUGGAAAGGGGCCUUGCAGAGAGACUGUGGUUGGGAGGCGAGAGAAAGACAGAGGAGCCUUAAGUUGGGGAUCUUGCCCUCCCUUGAUGCUUGGAAGGCCUCUGGCCCAGCUCAGCAGCAGCGUGCACACACACUAGGUGCACAGCGUUGCUGGGGACACUGGCAGAGUCCCUGGUGAUGCUUCGCCAUCUGAGACAGCUCAGCGCAGAACAGGGAAUUUCCCUCGGCACUCCUUCAUCCUGCUUGUCUACCAAAAGGUGAAAUCAUUUGUUGUAAAAUAAAACAAUUCCCAUCUCUA